rnacentral:rRNA from 1 species
ACGAACGCUGGCGGCAUGCUUAACACAUGCAAGUCGAACGGAAGGGCCCUGCUUUUGUGGGGUGCUCGAGUGGCGAACGGGUGAGUAACACGUGAGUAACCUGCCCUUGACUUUGGGAUAACUUCAGGAAACUGGGGCUAAUACCGGAUAGGAGCUCCUGCUGCAUGGUGGGGGUUGGAAAGUUUCGGCGGUUGGGGAUGGACUCGCGGCUUAUCAGCUUGUUGGUGGGGUAGUGGCUUACCAAGGCUUUGACGGGUAGCCGGCCUGAGAGGGUGACCGGCCACAUUGGGACUGAGAUACGGCCCAGACUCCUACGGGAGGCAGCAGUGGGGAAUAUUGCACAAUGGGCGGAAGCCUGAUGCAGCAACGCCGCGUGCGGGAUGACGGCCUUCGGGUUGUAAACCGCUUUCGCCUGUGACGAAGCGUGAGUGACGGUAAUGGGUAAAGAAGCACCGGCUAACUACGUG